GGAUCCUCUAAUACAUUCACCUUCCGAUCAAUCUCUGCAAUGUACCGAUCCACUUCUGUAGCUAGAAUCUGAGUUUGCUUGUGAUCUUUCUGAACCAUUGACACACGGUUUCCUGUAAGAUCGGAAGGAGCCCCCAUUGCAUCAGUCUUUUGCUAGAAUGAUGAGAUUUCCUUGCUUCAUUCACUAAAGCUUCAAUUUCUGCCUUGAAGGACUCGGCAGAAGUGAUCUUUUUUAUUAAAUUUGUGACCCUGCCGUUCAGUUGCACGAGUAAAGUCUUGAUUUCAAGAUUAAUUUGAGUGUUAUCUUGACUUGUCAUUGAUGUUCUUGGUGGUUUUUCCAGCAUCGAUGAAUUAAUGGUUUCUUGGUUUUGAGACGGAGAAUCAGAAAGAAAAGUGAGAGGCUUGUUGUUUCUGUUAGCUAGGAGAGAACGUCAGAACAAUAGCUAUUAUACUGUAAUAAGAAACCUUUCUUUUCUCUAUUUAUCUGACACCUAAACUUCAAUUGUGUAUAUAUAGAGAGAGCGGGAGAAGUGGUUAAGUUCACAUGAAGGUGAAUGGCUAAUUAAGAAGCUGAACAAAAACACGAAAACCAGUGCAUUCUAACCAUUUCUACCACUUCUGGACUCCUUUCCCUUUACUAAGCCAAUUGCAAGCAACACUUCUUUCUUCAGCUUGAAGCGCAAAGAUUAGUUUGUGCAACUAUUUGUUUAUCUUCUUAGCAUAACUAGCAACUCAAAAACCCUAUUCAUAGAGUUCAUCUCUACAUCGAAGGACCGUGGAAAACGAUUAGCACAGACCACUCUCCAGCUCAUGAUGGUGUAUCGAUCCUUCUUUGCUUGUUUGGGAUCAGGGAGGACAGCAGUGAUCCCUGUAGGACUCAGCGGCUUUUGAAUGCCAUUGUUGAUCAGACUCAGAAGUGACGCCUACAAUCUGACUCUUAACACCCAUCUUGCAUAAUUGCUCAGUUGUCUAACAUAUAUAUGCAGGAGCAAUUGUCAGUAUCGUAAUGUAUAUCAGAACAUUGAUUGAGAGUUGAAGUGUUCAUACGCCUACAAUCAUGAAGGAUCAACUUUAUUCAGCUCCUAUCUGUUUCAUCAUGCUCAAGAUCAGAUACAGACUGACGGUGAUUAUGAGUUAUCGAGAAAAGAGAAUAAAUAAGAAACUUAAAAAUCAGCUAUAAUUGAUUGAGUUUACUUAUGGAAGAUGUUGAGGUUGGGAAACGGUGACAGGUGACCAAUGAUAAAUGGCGGGUGUUGUCAAACACAGAGCCUAUAACCAGGAUUUUGGCAGGAAAGCUAGUUUCGCUGGGCCAACCAAGUGAGACGUGUUCUUGAAAAAGGUUACUAAUAUCAUGCAAUAACUUUCAAAAAAACUUUUUUGGAAUAUUCCACGAAAAGGAAGUUCAUAUGGCCCAGUUAGACCCAACUGACUGAAUCUGUUAA